GAUGGGAUGAGGUCACCAACACUUUCUGAUGAUCAGUUAUGUGCUAGUGUUAGUCACUCAUUUUCAUACCGUGUUUAAUCCACACAGCCACUCUCAGGACCCAACAACUCUGCUCAUUUUACAAACCGGAUGAGGAAAUAGAUGCAGAAGGGGGCGUGUCUCAAGGUCACCCAGCAGAGCCGGGUCCCUCCGGAUCAGCAGAGGAGAGGAAGGUUUUACAGCCUUUACAGCUUUGAAUUCAUUAAUUCCCCUGAAGAGAUGAACAGUACUAUUCCAAGUUUUAAAGACAAGGAGGCCUUGGCAGACCCAGAGUUACCAGAAGAAAGAAACUGAACCUGCAGAACUCAUUUGAAACCCCUUAGGGGAUAUGCUGAAAAUUCCCUUUCCGGUCGCAUCACAGCAUCACUGAAAACCAGCGUACUUUGUUGACCAGCACCUGUUGAAGGAGUGGGCAUGAUGGUGUCCCUUUCGACCCCUUCUGUGAGAACCUCCUUCCACACUCUCCCCUCCAGACACCCUGGAUAGGUACCACACAUCUGGGUUAAUUAUAUCACGUGGGAAUGUGCCAGAACUAAUCAAGGUGACAACUUCCUGGCUAAUCACAUGAGUACCACCUUCUCGGCUGUGAGAAAGUGCACGUCUCUCAAGGCUGUGUCAGGAGUUCUUGGGCAGGCUUGAAUCUUUCACUGGACAGAAUCCGCAUCCUGCUCGUCCAGUCUCUCCAGGAUUUGUGACUAGUGGGCUGCUGCAUUCGCCCAUUUGUUCACCGUGUUAUGCCAAGGAAAUGUGAAGUUCUGGGAAGACUGAGUUUGCGAGUCAUGUAGACCUUGGUUUAAACCUUAAGUCACCUCUGACUAGCUAUGUAUGUGAUUUGGGGCAAAGUGUUUUCCAAGCCUGUUUCCUCACUGACAGCAUGGGAACAAUAUCUUUCUUGCAGGGUUGUUGUGAAAAUUAUUGCUAAUCCUGUAAUUGUAGCUCCAGCCAUAGUCGGGGUGGUGGGUGGGCAGCUCCUAUCGGACUAAUCACGUGUUCACUGAUGUCAUGUCGGAAGCUUGAAACUGACCACUAUAGUAUUUCCUUCAUGAAAAUCAAUAGAUUCUAUAAAGAAGGGCUUUUCCCCUCAACUAAAGCCUAUUUAUCAAUACAUCCCUACUUAGUAGGCACUCAAUAAAUG
ensembl:lncRNA